GACGAACGCUGGCGGCGUGCUUAACACAUGCAAGUCGAACGGAAAGGCCCUGCUUUUGUGGGGUGCUCGAGUGGCGAACGGGUGAGUAACACGUGAGUAACCUGCCCUUGACUUUGGGAUAACUUCAGGAAACUGGGCUAAUACCGGAUAGGAGCUCCUGCUGCAUGGUGGGGGUUGGAAAGUUUCGGCGGUUGGGGAUGGACUCGCGGCUUAUCAGCUUGUUGGUGGGGUAGUGGCUUACCAAGGCUUUGACGGGUAGCCGGCCUGAGAGGGUGACCGGCCACAUUGGGACUGAGAUACGGCCCAGACUCCUACGGGAGGCAACAGUGGGGAAUAUUGCACAAUGGGCGGAAGCCUGAUGCAGCAACGCCGCGUGCGGGAUGACGGCCUUCGGGUUGUAAACCGCUUUCGCCUGUGACGGAGCGUGAGUGACGGUAAUGGGUAAAGAAGCACCGGCUAACUACGUG
rnacentral:rRNA from 1 species